rnacentral:rRNA from 1 species
GACGAACGCUGGCGGCGUGCUUAACACAUGCAAGUCGUACGGUAAGGCCCUUUCGGGGGUACACGAGUGGCGAACGGGUGAGUAACACGUGAGUAACCUGCCCACAACUUUGGGAUAACGCUAGGAAACUGGUGCUAAUACUGGAUAUGUGCUCCUGCUGCAUGGUGGGGGUUGGAAAGCUCCGGCGGUUGUGGAUGGACUCGCGGCCUAUCAGCUUGUUGGUGGGGUAGUGGCCUACCAAGGCGGCGACGGGUAGCCGGCCUGAGAGGGUGACCGGCCACAUUGGGACUGAGAUACGGCCCAGACUCCUACGGGAGGCAGCAGUGGGGAAUAUUGCACAAUGGGCGCAAGCCUGAUGCAGCAACGCCGCGUGCGGGAUGACGGCCUUCGGGUUGUAAACCGCUUUCAGCAUGGACGAAGCUUUUUGUGACGGUACCUGCAGAAGAAGCACCGGCUAACUACGUG